AUUUAUGAAAUCAAAAUUGAUUUUUGAAUUUUACGUUAAAACGAAUUCGGAUUUUGAAAUCACGUUCUAUUGAAAUUAGAAAGCAAAUCCUAACCAUUUCGGAUUCAGCAACCUAAAUUCUACUCCUAGCCCAAUUGGGCAAAGCCCAAACCAACAAAACCCCAAAACCAUACUCCCUUCUCUUUUCCUCAUUCACGUAAAAAAAAAAAAAAAAAAAAAACAAACCAAACCAAACCCUCCCCUCUCUUCCCUCCAUACUCACGUGAAACAAACAAACAAAAAAGAAAAGAGGAAACCCUCCAAUCUCACGCUCACCCUCAGCCGUCCUCUCUCCCUCCACGCCGUCGCUGAGCCGCCGCCGUCCAGCACUCCUCAGCCACCGGCGACCUAUCACCGCAGCCCGAGUCGCACAGCCGCCGCCAAGUCGCGCCGCCGUGCCCAGCCCUGCCGCGAGCCACCUCCGUCCGCCAGCUCUCUCUCUUUCCUCCUUCUUGAAUUGGCGGAGAAUUAUCUUUAGGCGACUUUUGAAAGUGUUAAAGUGGCCUAUCGGUUUGUUUACACAAGUCUCUAAGGAUCAAUAAGCGUUGCCCAUCUACAGGUUUGAAGAUGAUGCAUCAUUGGGAUCGGGAUUAGAGAGCUUGUAGUUAUAUUUUCUUUAUUAAGUGAUUUGGUUUGUUAACUUAAAUUUGAAAUUUGUCGUACUAUUCGUAUUUCCUUAUUUCAGUUAAUUGGUUUUGGACCUAAUAUGUAAUAAGAUUAUUUAUGAACCUAAAAGUUAGUUUUAUGUUUUC